rnacentral:rRNA from 1 species
UACGUAGGGUCCGAGCGUUGUCCGGAAUUACUGGGCGUAAAGGGCUCGUAGGCGGUUUGUCGCGUCGGGAGUGAAAACCUACAGCUUAACUGUGGGCUUGCUUUCGAUACGGGCAGACUAGAGGUAUGCAGGGGAGAACGGAAUUCCUGGUGUAGCGGUGAAAUGCGCAGAUAUCAGGAGGAACACCGGUGGCGAAGGCGGUUCUCUGGGCAUGAUCUGACGCUGAGGAGCGAAAGUGUGGGGAGCGAACAGG